rnacentral:tRNA from 2 species
CGGGACGUAGCACAGCUUGGUAGUGCGUCUGGUUCGGGACCAGAAGGUCGUGGGUUCGAAUCCCAUCGUUCCGACCA